UGACUGUGAUGGUCUUUGGUAGAAGCGCACUGCUUGAAGUAUUUCUCAGGUUAUUUUCACUCGGGCGUGUCCGGUUCGAUUCCUGCGGUAUGAAUUUUGAAGACUCGAGUAAUCAGUCUCUUUUCAAAUUCAGGUAAUGAGUAACAAUAUCACUGGAGGGAAGCAAUUCAGCACAGUAUGUUACCCGUGGUGAAGGCGAAACGGAUGGCACAAACGAUAUAGUGAUGAUUUGGAAAUAUCUGGUGUGACGACUCGAAAUUUUUUUU
rnacentral:SRP_RNA from 1 species